UGAGGGAAAGGCGAAAAGAACCCCGGCGAGGGGAGUGAAAAAGAACCUGAAACCGUGUACGUACAAGCAGUGGGAGCACAGGUUUACCUGUGUGACUGCGUACCUUUUGUAUAAUGGGUCAGCGACUUAUAUUCUGUAGCAAGGUUAACCGUAUAGGGGAGCCGGAGGGAAACCGAGUCUUAACCGGGCGUUAAGUUGCAGGGUAUAGACCCGAAACCCGGUGAUCUAGCCAUGGGCAGGUUGAAGGUUGGGUAACACUAACUGGAGGACCGAACCGACUAAUGUUGAAAAAUUAGCGGAUGACCUGUGGCUGGGGGUGAAAGGCCAAUCAAACCGGGAGAUAGCUGGUUCUCCCCGAAAGCUAUUUAGGUAGCGCCUCGUGAAUUCAUCUCCGGGGGUAGAGCACUGUUUCGGCUAGGGGGCCAUCCCGGCUUACCAACCCGAUGCAAACUGCGAAUACCGGAGAAUGUUAUCACGGGAGACACACGGCGGGUGCUAACGUCCGUCGUGAAGAGGGAAACAACCCAGACCGCCAGCUAAGGUCCCAAAGUCAUGGUUAAGUGGGAAACGAUGUGGGAAGGCCCAGACAGCCAGGAUGUUGGCUUAGAAGCAGCCAUCAUUUAAAGAAAGCGUAAUAGCUCACUGGUCGAGUCGGCCUGCGCGGAAGAUGUAACGGGGCUAAACCAUGCACCGAAGCUGCGGCAGCGACGCUGAUGCGUUGUUGGGUAGGGGAGCGUUCUGUAAGCCUGUGAAGGUGUGUCGUGAGGCAUGCUGGAGGUAUCAGAAGUGCGAAUGCUGACAUAAGUAACGAUAAAGCGGGUGAAAAGCCCGCUCGCCGGAAGACCA
rnacentral:rRNA from 1 species